AUCCCCAUUUCACAUUCCCCCAGGAUGUGAUGUAUCCCCGUUUCACAUUCCCCCUGUCAGCCCUGCACCCCAAUCCUUGGGGGAUGGGUCCCCCAUUCCGUGUCCUGCCCCUCAUCCCUGGAUCCCUGAUAUUUUGGGCCGGGUUUUUCCCCCCGUCCCUCAUCCCAGCCCCAUCCUGGAUGCGUCUCCCUGUCGGAACAAGGCGACUCCCCUGAUAUCAGAGGGCUAAUUAAUUACUUUAUUAUACUAUAUUAUCCAUACUCUAUCCACUGUGUUACAUUUGAUCUAAGCUGGGUGUGCUGGGCACUCCAGUGCCCGGCACCUCGUGGCUCUGCUGACACACUCCUGGCUCAGAGAAUCAAACACUCACACCCCAGUACAAUCAUCAAUUCCCUUCAGGUAAACAAUUCCGCUUGUGGACAACACCGGUGCACCAAAUGAGACAGGAGUUGUUUCCAUCAUUCUUUUCUCUGCUUCUCAGUUUCAGAGAAUGUGAAUCCCAAAUUCUCCACGUGGAACCCCAAAAACCCCGGAGCGAGCGCGCCCCGGGAGCGCCGAGCCAACCCUCCAAUCCAAUUAAUGAGCUGGUCCUGUUGCUCCCUGGAUGCUGCACUGCAGAACAGCCCUUGAGGCCCCAGUGAGGCCUCAGAGAGGCCCCGGAGUUCACAGACGUGAGGGAUUUGCAUUUGAGGGAUUUUCUCUUGAGGGAUUUUCACUUGGACCCAGACUCCCAGAGAAAUCCCAGCUCCGGCUGAGCUGGACUCUCUCACCCUGUGCACCUGCUCCCAGUGUGCCCAGUCCAGUCCUUUGGACUUCCUAAGUGGAAAUAAACCUUUCCCAGUGGG